UACUUCAAGGUCCCAUUAACUUCACUUUGUAUCUUCUUCUUCUAUACCAUUGCUUCUCAUUACUUAUUAAUUAAACAAACCCAAUAUGAGGCACUCUCAUUAUAUUUUAUAAUUUUUCUUCACUUUAAUUCUUACAACUCAAGCAAGACACCAUCAGCUAAUUAAACUUGAAGACUUAAAGGGAGAGAAAUCAACCUAUUUCAGGCCUCUAAGAGCCUUGGUUCAUCUGAACAAAUAUUUUCAAGUGCAUUCCCUAAGAACUAUGAACCUCUUGCUAAUUUCGACUAUGAAGUAAAUGAUGAUUCUCCAAUUGUACAGGAUGAUGUCAAUUUGUUUGACUACAAUGUCCCUGAACGUGUAAAUGAGUUCGUCACAGCACCGAUAUCUCAGAUCUAGAUGCAGAAGUAAUAGCUCUAUUGCCAAAGUUGCUGAUGGCGAUGAACCGUUUCGUGUGCGAGAUAUGCAAGAAAGGGUUCCAGAGGGAACAGAACCUGCAGUUGCACCGGCGAGGGCACAAUCUGCUGUGGAAGCUUCAGCAGAAGGAGAAGGAGGUGGUGGUGGUAGACGCGGUUUGAACGAGGGAAUUUAGGGGAGUUUGCGUUUCUGAACUUUGGACGCGGGAGGGGGACGCGGGAACAUGUAUUUUUAGUGAUAAAAAUUGACAGCAUAUUUGUCGAUUUUAAUUUUAAAAAAAUAACACAUAUAGCAUCUAUUUUAUACAUUAA